rnacentral:rRNA from 1 species
AUAGAUUAAGUUAUUAAGGGCGCACGGUGGAUGCCUUGGCACUAGAAGCCGAUGAAGGACGUUACUAACGACGAUAUGCUUUGGGUAGCUGUAAGUAAGCGUUAAUCCAGAGAUUUCCGAAUGGGGGAACCCAGCAUGAGUUAUGUCAUGUUAUCGACAUGUGAAUUUAUAGCAUGUCAGAAGGCAGACCCGGAGAACUGAAACAUCUUAGUACCCGGAGGAAGAGAAAGAAAAAUCGAUUCCCUGAGUAGCGGCGAGCGAAACGGGAAGAGCCCAAACCAACAAGCUUGCUUGUUGGGGUUGUAGGACACUCUAUACGGAGUUACAAAAGAACAUGUUAGACGAAUCAUCUGGAAAGAUGAAUCAAAGAAGGUAAUAAUCCUGUAGUCGAAAACAUAUUCUCUCUUGAGUGGAUCCUGAGUACGACGGAGCACGUG